ACGCAGAUAACGAGAGGCCAUGAUAGUCUAACAAAAGAGGGGACUGCCUGCAGGACUCCUGCGUGGAGCCGCUUCCCGUGCAGGCUCCACUGUCAGGACAGGAAAUCACAGGCAGAUUUCUUUUCUUUUUUUUUCGUCCUCAAAAAGACGCAACUUCGGGCGUUUUCGGUCGUUUUUCGCCGCACUGCGCGUCGUAACACCGGUAGGUGACGGAUUUGCAGUCUGAAAUCAUGGGUCUGGCUCACGUUCGCCAUCGACAUCGCUACCGCCGUCAGCAUGUGUAAAUCUAACUCACGCAAAUUACCGACUGUUGCGCAAGUCGGUAGACGUGAUCUAUUGAGAAAAAAAAAAAACCCUCUUUAUAUGUAACUGUGUGUUCGUCGUUAUUAAGCGUUGUUGUAAAGGGUUUAGCAGGUGCACAGGUGUUCAUCUGCCUCAAGAUGUUGACUACGACGCUCAGAUGCAUCGUUCAAUGAUUCCUCCCGGGGGGGGGUCAUUCAGUCCGACGUUGCAAACUUUACCACUGCCCCCUUUGCCCCAAAUUGAAACCCGGCCUACCACCCAGGCUUCAGCGGCACCCGGAAGUCCACAUCAAAAAUGCAAUCAGGUUUAAAGAUAAGAAGAUCUGCAGGUGCAAUUUAAACUGCAGGGAUUGGGGACAUUUCCAUGGCCCUGUUUGUGUAUCAUUAGAAGAAAAGACACGGAGGGACACCCGGAGGCUUGCCGUGGUGCCACGCAACAGACUCCCACUGCAGCUGCUGCCAGGUCCCAACACCAUCGGCAUCUGCUCCUGUUACACUGGAUUUGUCCUUUUCCAUCUGCUCUUCCUCACUGCAACCGCACUCAGCUGCUGCACCCUCUCCCCUGCUUCCACCCACCACGGUCGCCCCCUCCCCAGAACUGACCGCUCCUCAGCCGGGGGGCAUUGGGAGACUGGACAGCAGCUAAUGACUGUUAAUACAAGUAGUAGCUCACUGCCGUGUGAUACGCUGUGUUUGCUGAAUAAAGGGCAGGAGAACAUUUGAUACUUUU